rnacentral:tRNA from 1 species
CGGAAUGUAGCGCAGUGGUAGCGCACCUGGUUUGGGACCAGGGGGCCGUGAGUUCGAGUCUCACCAUUCCGA